rnacentral:rRNA from 1 species
UACGUAGGGUGCGAGCGUUAAUCGGAAUUACUGGGCGUAAGGUGUGCGCAGGUGGCCGCGCAAGUCGAGUGUGAAAGCCCCGGGCUUAACUUGGGAAUUGCGCUCGAAACUACGUGGCUCGAGUGUGGCAGAGGAAGGUGGAAUUCCACGUGUAGCGGUGAAAUGCGUAGAGAUGUGGAGGAACACCGAUGGCGAAGGCAGCCUUCUGGGCCAACACUGACACUCAUGCACGAAAGCGUGGGGAGCAAACAGG